AAAAUAAUGUGUCUGUGAAUGCUUGGGUGGGGAAUGAAGCUCAAGAACAGAUGUUACCACCUUCAAAGGGAUCCUUCCAAAUGCAAAGCUUUACCUGCUGUACAGUUCUCCCUGGAAUGUAAAACUGUGGACAAAUGAAGAUCAGAUCAUUCUGGGAUUGGCUGAAAGACGUUUCUGUUAGUACAAAUAUCUGGGCUAAAUACCAUGGGCUACCCAUGUCCAGCUCCAUGUCCUCGGUGUCUGGGAUAAGGCUCAUCUCUGGUUUACCAAACCUGCUACUGGCAGCAAUGUCUAAGACACACAGGAGGGCAGGUAUUAGAACACCAUUCCCAGGUCAAGAGAAAGGCUCCAUAGCAAAACAGUGCCAGCCAGCUUUCUACCAAUGACCUUGACCUCAGGAGCCUGAAUUAUCAAAAGAACAUGAUGCCAGCCAUGAAACACUGGUAUACUCAACAAUCUAGCAAGGACCACAUCUUUGCCAAAACAUACUCUAAUCAUAAAUGAAUGAGUCAAAGCUCUUCAGGGGUGUGAGUAUUGGCUCACCAAAAUCCCACAACCAGAAUUGUACCUUGGAGACUCAACCUGGUGAGGUCUGGACUUUUGUAAUAAGCUGAUCUGAAGAAUGUGAGUGGCAUUUCACCCAAAGCAACGAACCAAGAUGUGGUGAGCACUAUGGCAGUCAACUUCAUUAUUGUAAAGAAAAUUGCAUGCAUGGGAUAUACCCAACUCCUAAGGAGGAGAAUGGCUUAGAAGUAUGCUCUGCCCUUGUCUGUGACAUGCACAGAACCAGCAGCAGACAGACAGCAUCCCCUGGGAAUAACAAGUGUCCACUCUUGGCUUCUAAGGCUUCAAUGCAGAAAGCUCAGCCUACCCCAUGGGCAACUUUUUCUACCUCUUCAUCUAGCCAGUUUGGUCAGCAGUGCUGGUGAGCUUCAGUGGCCUGGCUUUGUUCUGGGCUCUGAACCCUUGGGUGAAGGGUGAGAUCCAGAAAUGUCCUGGAUAAAUGUGUCCUUAAGGGUCUUUCCCUGUGCAUUAAGAGCAGUAUUGUAUUCCUAGAAUUCUUUAGUUCUCACUGAAGUGUAUUCUAGAACAUCUGGUUGGCUUCAUUUUACAUAAAUCAGCAGACUGUCAACCCCUGACAGGUACCUGUUUACUUUCACGUCAUUAAGUGCCAUUUUUCCAGAAACAGCAAGAUACAGGCAACACAACAUGUAAUUAAGCAAAAACAAUGCAAAUAAACAUAAGUAAUGCAGACGAGGAAAGCAGAUAUCUACAGAAGCACAGAGUGAGAUAUCUACAGAAGCACUUACAACUGAGCCCUGGUCUACCUGCACUGAUUCUACUGUAGUCUAUCUGUAGCCUUUUACCUGUGAAGGGGAUAAAGGUCCUCCAUUUAAACUACUCUUCAAGUAGAGAUGCCAGUUCCCAGGUUUGGAAUAGCCAUGGCUACCCCUACUGCUGUCUCCAUGCUGUGUUUGGCAUGGGCGAGUGAUUGACACAGUUGCAGAUCUACAAACAGGACAGGCAGCUCAUUGUCCUUCCUCUUGGAUGAAACCAUGCUCCCCAGUUUCCAUCAGAGCCAUUGGGGAAAACUGCUUUUUACAAUCCAACAUACUAUUUAAAACCACAGCACUAACUAUAAUGUUUUAGAGUACCUGUCUCUUGAAUAUUCUAUGCUGUCUAUAUCUAUGUAUGUGUGUACCUUUUUUAGAGACAAGGUCUUGUGCUCACUACCCUCCUGACUCAGUCUUCAGCAUUAAAAAUGUGUGCCACCAUGGCUCAAUAUGUC
rnacentral:lncRNA from 1 species